CAUUCUUGUUUUUGACAACAAAUCAGGAAUGGAAGGAAAGUGUCAAAGAAAUUUCACGACUUUCGUUUCUCCAAUGAUGAUGAAAUGGAAGCUCCAAUAUUCCAAUUUCUCUGUGCGCAUUGUAUUGGGUACAGUUCUUUCUAAAUCUAAGUUCCCUUGGCUAAUGAAGAUACAGUGCUCCAUCCUCAAAGGUAAUUGUUGUCA
rnacentral:misc_RNA from 1 species